rnacentral:rRNA from 1 species
AUGUUAGCGGCGGACGGGUGAGUAACACGUGGGUAACCUGCCUGUAAGACUGGGAUAACUCCGGGAAACCGGGGCUAAUACCGGAUGGUUGUUUGAACCGCAUGGUUCAGACAUAAAAGGUGGCUUCGGCUACCACUUACAGAUGGACCCGCGGCGCAUUAGCUAGUUGGUGAGGUAACGGCUCACCAAGGCGACGAUGCGUAGCCGACCUGAGAGGGUGAUCGGCCACACUGGGACUGAGACACGGCCCAGACUCCUACGGGAGGCAGCAGUAGGGAAUCUUCCGCAAUGGACGAAAGUCUGACGGAGCAACGCCGCGUGAGUGAUGAAGGUUUUCGGAUCGUAAAGCUCUGUUGUUAGGGAAGAACAAGUGCCGUUCAAAUAGGGCGGCACCUUGACGGUACCUAACCAGAAAGCCACGGCUAACUACGUGCCAGCAGCCGCGGUAAUACGUAGGUGGCAAGCGUUGUCCGGAAUUAUUGGGCGUAAAGGGCUCGCAGGCGGUUUCUUAAGUCUGAUGUGAAAGCCCCCGGCUCAACCGGGGAGGGUCAUUGGAAACUGGGGAACUUGAGUGCAGAAGAGGAGAGUGGAAUUCCACGUGUAGCGGUGAA